ACGGGGCCGCCGACCAGCCCAAGGUCACACAGCCACGUGGGUCCCUCCCGGCCCGAGCGCCGGUGUCUCAGUUCACAAUGAAGGGAGCAAAGUGUUGCCUCCGAAUCUGUUACAGGGCCUUUUCCUAGAAGACCAGGGGGCUGAAGACAAAGGCUCACGUGAUUCCAGGGGACCCACCCGGCUAAUCCAGGAUAAUCUCCCCAUUUCAAGGU